rnacentral:misc_RNA from 1 species
AAUUAUAAAAAAAAUUAAGUAAACAAAUAAUUUUUUAUAAUAUUUUAUAAACAAUAAAUAAUAUUUUUGAAAAAAUAAAUAAUUUAAAUUUUAAAUAAAAUUUCUAAAAAUUUUAUACCCCUAAUAUAAAACAAUUAAUAAUUUUUUUAAAUUAAUUUUAAAUUAAAUUACAACUUAAUAUACAAAACAAUAAAUAAUAUUUUUGAAAAAAUAAAUAAUUUAAAUUUUAAAUAAAAUUUCUAAAAAUUUUAUACCCCUAAUAUAAAACAAUUAAUAAUUUUUUUAAAUUAAUUUUAAAUUAAAUUACAACUWAMUAWAMMAWWMAAUAAAWMWUAUYUUUKMAMMMAUAMAUAAUUUAAAUUUUAAAUAAAAUUUCUAAAAAUUUUAUACCCCUAAUAUAAAACAAUUAAUAAUUUUUUUAAAUUAAUUUUAAAUUAAAUUACAACUUAAUAUACAAAACAAUAAAUAAUAUUUUUGAAAAAAUAAAUAAUUUAAAUUUUAAAUAAAAUUUCUAAAAAUUUUAUACCCCUAAUAUAAAACAAUUAAUAAUUUUUUUAAAUUAAUUUUAAAUUAAAUUACAACUUAAUAUACAAAACAAUAAAUAAUAUUUUUGAAAAAAUAAAUAAUUUAAAUUUUAAAUAAAAUUUCUAAAAAUUUUAUACCCCUAAUAUAAAACAAUUAAUAAUUUUUUAAAUUAAUUUUAAAUUAAAUUACAACUUAAUAUACAAAACAAUAAAUAAUAUUUUAUAACUCCAAAUGUCAUUAUAUAUGAAUAUAUAAUAAUACUACUAUAUUUUAAUAUAUAAUAUAUAAUCUCUAAAAAAAAUAUUAUUUAUUAUAUUUAUAUAAUGGAGCAUAAAUCAAUGAUUGUAUUAUAAAUAUAUAUAUAUAUAUAUAUAUAAAGUAUAUAAAUUAUUUAUAUAUAUAUAUAUAUUUAUAUAAUUAUAAUAUUCAUAUAUAUAUAUAUAUUAAUAUAAAUUAUAUAUAUAUAAAUUAAACCAUAUAAAUAAUCGUAUAUUAAUAAAUUAUUAUAUAGAUUUAUAAAUAAGGUAUUCCGAAAUUAUAUAAUGAAAUAUUAUUAUUAUAUUAAUAUAGAUUAAUAUAACUCCAAAUGUCAUUAUAUAUGAAUAUAUAAUAAUACUACUAUAUUUUAAUAUAUAAUAUAUAAUCUCUAAAAAAAAUAUUAUUUAUUAUAUUUAUAUAAUGGAGCAUAAAUCAAUGAUUGUAUUAUAAAUAUAUAUAUAUAUAUAUAUAARUAUAUAAAUUAUUUAUAUAUAUAUAUAUAUUUAUAUAAUUAUAAUAUUHAUAUAUAUAUAUAUAUAAAUAUAAAUUAUAUAUAUAUAUAUUAAACCAUAUAAAUAAUCGUAUAUUAAUAAAUUAUUAUAUAAAUUAAUAAAUAAAGUAUUCCGAAAUUAUAUAAUAAAAUAUUAUUAUUAUGUUAAUAUAGAUUAAUAUAACUCCAAAUGUCAUUAUAUAUAUAUAUAUAUAUAUAUAUAUAUAUACUAAAAUAAAUUAUUUAUAUUAAUUAAACAUAAAAAUUUAAUUAAUAUAAUAUUUUUAUAUUUAUUUUUUAAAAAAU